CAGAAGUGAGUCCUCUAUAUGGCGGUGAUAGCUGAGGAGACAGACUUGGAGUAUCAUCUUCUUCUGCUGCGGUAACAAUUCUGACAAGUGUGGCGCUGAUGAUAUGCUAUGCCAUCUUGGAAUCAAAAUAUCCUAAAGCGUUGAAAAGCCAAAGAAAAUCCAUCCCUCUUAUCCUGACUGCAGUACUCCAUGUAGGCCCUUCUGUGGUUUGAUAUAUAUUACCAUACCACCAUACUAGAAACGGUGACUGAGAAAAAUGAGAAGCAAAUUAUUCAGAGGAUCUUUCCAAGUGUAAAUGUCUGCUUGCACACAAAGAAGAAAUCUUGAAACAAAGCUCAUGUUGUGCCAUCAAUCUAAGGAAAUCUACAGUUCAGAUGUGUCUAUGCUAAGAAACCACAGGAGAUGCCUUAAAGAAUGUACUCGCUCCACGUAACACCUUGGUCAGGAUCAAACGUCUGACUUCUGAAAGAUUAGUGAGAUUCUAGAGGAACGUAUCAGAAGAUUUUCACUCAGACUCCUAAUGGUUCUCUAGAGUGACUUGUAAGUGGCCCACACUCGUUGGUGCUCCUCAGACAUUUCCAUCACUUCCAACUCUAGCACACUAUUAAAGAAAAUGGGCAAUAUGGAAUGUUUUAUACCAAAAAUGGCCAAGUAAAGCAAAUAUUGAUGGGUUGCAGAAGGCAACAGGUACCUUAGGGUGUGUUCACACGGCUAUAUGUCCCUGUUUUUCCCCCCCUCGUUUAGGUUCCGUUGUUGCUGCUUGUAAACAGAGGAGAUUACGUUGUUGCUGAAGCUAACGGCGAAGAUUACCGGAGAUCCCCUACACAGAACGGGACAAGGCAAGUG